UACGUAGGGUGCGAGCGUUAAUCGGAAUUACUGGGCGUAAAGCGUGCGCAGGCGGUUCGUUAAGUUCGUUGUGAAAUCCCUAGGCUCAACCUAGGAACUGCGUCUGAUACUGGAUGGCUUGAAUCCGGGAGAGGGAUGCAGAAUUCCAGGUGUAGCGGUGAAAUGCGUAGAUAUCUGGAGGAAUACCGGUGGCGAAGGCGGCAUCCUGGACCGGCAUUGACGCUGAGGAGCGAAAGCCAGGGGAGCAAACGGG
rnacentral:rRNA from 1 species